CUUCAGCCCUGAAAAAGCAUUUCCCAACAGUACAGUGUCAGUAACACAACUUUAUUAUUAAAUUAUCAUCUCAUCAAAGCAUCGUGACAUUAUUUUAUUUUGAAAUGACAUGGUUCGAGGACCCUGACAGCCAAAAGGAUAUGUCUACCAGGCCUUAAACUUUUUUUUUUUUUAACUAACACACAAAUAGUAAAGGAAGAAAUUACUUUGUUUGUUUGUUUAUUUAUUUAUUUAUUUAUUUUUGAGACGGCGUCUUCCUCUGUCUCCCAGGCUGGAGUGCAAUGGCGCGAUCUUAGCUCACUGCACCCUCUGCCUCCCAGGUGCAAGUGAUUCUCUUGCCUCAGCCUCCCGAGUAGUUGGGAUUACAGGCUCCGGCCACCACUCCCGGUUACUUUUUUGUAUUUUUAGUACAGACGGGGUUUCACCAUUUUGGCCACGCUGGUCUCGAACUGGUGACCUCAGAUAAUCCACCCUCCUCGGCCUCCCAAAAUGCUGGGAUUACAGGCGUAAACCACCACGCCCAGCCAAAAUUACAUAAUUUAAAAACGAGGAAACUAUACAUUUUGAACAAUCCUUCUUGAGGAGAGAAAUGUUACAAGUAAAGGAAAUAAAUAAAAAUAAAAUAAUAAAAAUGCAAUUAAAAAUGAAAAAUAAAAACAAAAAAAUUCUUAGUAAUUGUGACCAUCCUGGAUUUAAUCUGAGAAUAUUAAUUUUUUUAAACUAUGUAUAACAGUGCAUGUAUUAGAUUUGAGGUCGUGGAAUUUGAGUUAUGGUUAGAGUUUUUUUCUAAAACUUUUUUUCCUACUAAAAUACGGUAGUGUUGUAUCUAUUUUAUUUUACUCUAUUUUAUUUUGUUUAUGUGAAGAUUUUACUUAACUAUACAACUUUUUAAAAUAAGAAUAUUUCCUAAUUAAAAGAAAGCAAUUUUUUAAAAAGUGUAAACCCACAGGACAAAAAGCAGAUGGGCGAGCGAUAACUGAUUUCACACAGAAGAAAGAAAAGGCAGCGACCGCAAGAGCCUGCGGAGGAAUCGUCCCACCGGGAGGAAACACCCCCUGGGGAAAAUGAGGGCAGAAGACGUGGGUGUGAGGGAUGCAGCCAGCAGAUCCUCGCGGGCUCAGUGGGAGUGAACGAGGAUCACUGUACACUGUAGGACACCCGAGCAUUGCAACACCAUGAAAUAAUGCCCGCUGGGAAGCUGUGUGGCCCAUGGGGGUAUAGCUCAGGGGUAGAGCAUUUGACUGCAGAUCAAGAGGUCCCCGGUUCGAAUCCGGGUGCCCCCUGCUGGUUUUCUUUCUGUUUCAGGAUACUCUAUGAACUCGACCACUCUGAGUCCAUCCAAGUCACCAUCAGCCUGCAUAUUAGGCCCUAGAAGUGCCCUAAGCCUGCCCAGUCACAUGUACAUGUGAGACUUGGAAUGUGGAAUGAGGUACAUGGAAGCAGGAAGAGUUUGGAAUGCGCUCCAGGGAACGCGGAACUCUGUCAUUGGCAGCGGGGCUGGUGGCUGCAGCCAGCUUUCAGUGGAGGUUGGAUGAAGGAGUUUGUGUCAUGCCAAAGAGAGCUAGAAAAGCCAGUUUAAAAAGGCAAUUCACAUUUUAAAAGCAUCAGAGAGUUGCAGAAGCAGCAAGGACUAGAAGAACUAAAAUUCCAGAGAGGAGAGAACCUUUUGGAACAAUCUCAGUUAUUCAGCAGCAACAGCUGAAUGUUUUGGUGUAGUCGUGGGGACAUCUGCACAUUCCAUCUGUGUCUGGAGAAGGCUUUGUAGACAUCUGAGCUUUCCAUUGUAUGUCUUUGAGCUUCCUAAUGCCGUCAGACUUGGCUGGGCGUUUCUUACUGCUCUGUAACAACAGCUGGUCUCUAAAAGUUUUGUCCUUCAGUGGGAACUUUAUUCCAAGAAGAAGUGACACUUGAAAUAUUUAACAACAGCUACAGCACAGACACUGACCAAUCAGAAUGAAUGCCAGCCAUAAGCAACCAUUGAAUGCCUACCAGGUGAAACAGCUGAAAAUGAGAGCCAAGGCUGAUCCCUGUGGGUGCCAAACUUUGAUGUCCAUGGAAUUGGCAGCUUCCCCCAGUCUCCCAGCUGAAAACAGGCUGGAGUGCAGUGGCGCGAUCUCGGCUCACUACAACCUCUGCCUCCCUGUUGGCCAGGCUGGUCUAGAAUUCCUGACCUCGUGAUUCGCCCGCCUCAACCUCCCAAAGUGUUGGGAUUACAGCCGUGAGCCACUAUGCCUGGCCAACUCUAGACUUGAAGAGACUGGAAAGGUGAAAUGUACUAAAUUCACGUGACAUGCCGUCACUC